ACUGAGUUAGGGAUUGCAGUGGAAAUCCUUUUGCUUUUUUGCAAAAGAUUGUAACGGAAAGCCCGACCGUGC
rnacentral:sRNA from 2 species